rfam:Ovis aries breed Texel chromosome 2, whole genome shotgun sequence.
UCCCUAGUGGCUCAGAUGGUAAAGAAUCCACCUGCAAUGUGGGAGACCUGGGUUUGAUCCCUGGCUUGGGAA